AGUAAAAUGUUAUUAUACAUGAGAAGAAAAAAAAGAAGGAUAAAAACUAAAAAAAAAAAUAAUAAUAACCAAAAACUUUUAAAAAAUAACCCAAAAACAAACUGUCCACUGACCAAACAUGGAGACCUGUGUUGAAGAGCUUCACAAGGUCCAACAUGGAGGCCUGUGUUGAAGAGCUUCACAAGGUCCAACAUGGAGACCUGUGUUGAAGAGCUUCACAAGGUCCAACAUGGAGACCUGUGUUGAAGAGCUUAACAAGGUCCAACAUGGAGACCUGUGUUGAAGAGCUUCUCAAGGUCCAACAUGGAGACCUGUGUUGAAGAGCUUCACAAGGUCCAACAUGGAGACCUGUGUUGAAGAGCUUCACAAGGUCCAACAUGGAGACCUGUGUUGAAGAGCUUCACAAGGUCCAACAUGGAGGCCUGUGUUGAAGAGCUUCACAAGGUCCAACAUGGAGGCCUGUGUUGAAGAGCUUCACAAGGUCCAACAUGGAGACCUGUGUUGAAGAGCUUCACAAGGUCCAACAUGGAGACCUGUGUUGAAGAGCUUCACAAGGUCCAACAUGGAGACCUGAGUUGAAGAGCUUCACAAGGUCCAACAUGGAGACCUGUGUUGAAGAGCUUCACAAGGUCCAACAUGGAGACCUGUGUUGAAGAGCUUCACAAGGUCCAACAUGGAGACCUGUGUUGAAGAGCUUCACAAGGUCCAACAUGGAGGCCUGUGUUGAAGAGCUUCACAAGGUCCAACAUGGAGACCUGUGUUGAAGAGCUUCACAAGGUCCAACAUGGAGACCUGUGUUGAAGAGCUUCACAAGGUCCAACAUGGAGGCCUGUGUUGAAGAGCUUCACAAGGUCCAACAUGGAGACCUGUGUUGAAGAGCUUCACAAGGUCCAACAUGGAGGCCUGUGUUGAAGAGCUUCACAAGGUCCAACAUGGAGACCUGUGUUGAAGAGCUUCUCAAGGUCCAACAUGGAGACCUGUGUUGAAGAGCUUCACAAGGUCCAACAUGGAGACCUGUGUUGAAGAGCUUCACAAGGUCCAACAUGGAGACCUGUGUUGAAGAGCUUCACAAGGUCCAACAUGGAGGCCUG